CAGGACGAACGCUGGCGGCGUGCUUAACACAUGCAAGUCGAACGGUAAGGCCCUUCGGGGUACACGAGUGGCGAACGGGUGAGUAACACGUGGGUGAUCUGCCCUGCACUUCGGGAUAAGCUUGGGAAACUGGGUCUAAUACCGGAUAGGACCACGGUCUGCAUGGAUUGUGGUGGAAAGCUUUUGCGGUGUGGGAUGGGCCCGCGGCCUAUCAGCUUGUUGGUGGGGUGAUGGCCUACCAAGGCGACGACGGGUAGCCGGCCUGAGAGGGUGUCCGGCCACACUGGGACUGAGAUACGGCCCAGACUCCUACGGGAGGCAGCAGUGGGGAAUAUUGCACAAUGGGCGCAAGCCUGAUGCAGCGACGCCGCGUGGGGGAUGACGGCCUUCGGGUUGUAAACCUCUUUCAGCAGGGACGAAGGGUGACUGACGGUACCUGUAGAAGAAGCACCGGCCAACUACGUG
rnacentral:rRNA from 1 species